rnacentral:tRNA from 1 species
GGGAAAUUAGCUCAGUUGGUUUAGAGCACUGCCUCGACAAGGCAGGGGUCACAGGUUCGAGCCCUGUAUUUCCCA